GCGUCCUGGGAGUGGGAGGCAGAGAGUGAACACACCUUGGUUCCCAUGGCACCACUGCUGCCCGCACCUCCUGUCCAGGGAGCAGAGGACUCAUGCCCACAUCCGCUCUGCUCCCCGGCCCUCGCUGCCUUCCCGGGGCUGUGUGCAGUGUGCCCGUGGGGCUGACUCUGGCCAUUCACUCUGGUUGCCACCUGCUGAGCCGUCCAGGCAGGGAUCUGAGUCAUUCUGACCUGGUGAGUGUUUAAGGGGGGCUCCCCUGAACCUGCUGCCCUAGCUGAGUCUCAAGGGGGACAGCUUGGGGUUUGCGACAAUUUGCAGGGAGUCCCCAAACAACCUCACAUCACACCUAGAUUGGGAGUGACCAGGAUAGUUCAAUUCCCGCAUUUCCACAUGAGGAAAAGCCAGCAGGGCUGUGAAGCCCACCCUUAGGUGUUACUUUGGUCUCCUUUUGCUGAGCCUUCUGGUCACCCCCAUGUCAUUAUCAAUCCGCAUCAUGGCCUCAGUGCCUGGUGAUUACUGUUUUCAUUCACACGCCGAGGAGGGAUUUCAAAGACAAUGAAACUAAGGCACAGAGAAGUGCAGGGACUUGUCCAGGGUCACACAGCUAGUGUGGAGAGAAUAGGAUCCAAACCUGGUUCUGUCUGACUCUAGAGCCUGCCCUGUAGACUAACAUACCCAGGUGCCCACUGUGUCCUGGUCAACCCCAGUCCCUUUCUCAUUCCCUGCCUUGCCCUUCUGAUUCUCCCCUGACCUAGAAAGCCAUGGAUCCGCCCAUUGGAGUUGUGGCUGAGAGCAGCUCUGGCUCUGAUCCUUUCUAGGAGCUUCACAGUGUGAGCAAAAUGGCCCAGAGAGGACACCUCACAUCACACGGGGCGGGGGUUUCGGGGGGCAGUCCCCUUCCAAGAGGCCGGGAAAGGCUUCUUUGCCCCUGCGGGGACGGCCAGUGAGGAAGGGUGCCUCUCUGCCCACAGACGAGCAGGGGCUACUGCCCGGCUCCGAUGCCAGCCGCCAGCAGGGAAGCACACGAGGGGCUGCGGGCCGCCUCUCCAGGAUGGAGGGGAGUCGGCUCAGUGCAGGUCGUAUGGGACUGAGGGCGGAAUUCCCCAGAAGCUGCGUCCAAAAGUCUCCCGAGCCUUUCAGCUCUCUGGGGAAUUCUGCUGGCACAGGGCUUGGUGCAAAACAAAGGCCAGUCUGUGCUCUGCAUUCCGAAUGGAAAUGUCGACUCUCCUCUCCACACAGGCCCGCCCAUCAAAUGCCACAGAAGUCGGACUGGUGGCCCUAGGGCAGCUGGAGUCAGAGAGAGGAGGCAAAGGGUCCAGGCAGGGAUCACAGCACAUCAAGCCGUGGACCGCUCCCCUCUGAACCGCCAUGUCACUGUCCUGAACGAACUUGGUGUGCAACUUGACUACCCAAAAAGAAGGAGGAAGAGGAACCUACAGCAAACCUCACAUAACCCCAAGAGGGGAUUUCAGAUUUCAGCCCGUGCCUUUCAUCCACAGAAGGGCAGACUUGCCACUGUGCUGCCUGGCAGACACUCCUCCCGUUUCCUCCCCCGGGAGCACCCUCUGCAGUGAGGGCCCGGCAAGGCCUCCAGCUUGUGGGCCUGCCUCUCCAGCUGGAGUUAGGGCCUGGCCUGAGGGGCAUGGAGGGGUGGAAGCGCCUCCAGGUUGACUUUGAAAGGAUGAAAGCAAGGUCUGGAGAGGAGAGGGGCGGACCCUGGACUCUCAGUGUGGGUCUCUCUGCACCUCACCACUCUGCCCUCUUCCAGAACAGCUGGGAGUCAGGGAGAGGGGCCAGGACCUCUGUCUGCACAGCACAGAAGGGAUUGUCAGAUUAAAGGACUGCAGCCAAGACGAAGGGUCUGAAUGAGUCACUUACUGAGCACCCACCAGGCAUGGCCAGUGAAUGGACCAGGGAGGGUCUCUGCACUCCUUCCCAGAGCUCUGUCUGUGGCUUUGAAGCCUCCUUCCUCAUAGUCUAUGCAGCAAGAAAAUCUAAGCGGGCAUCGCACCCCCACCACUGAGAUUCCUGGGAGAAGUGGGCACGGGAGUCCUGAGGGCAUGAGACAGCUGGUGGCUGCAGCAUGUAGCCUGCUCCAAACCCUCGGUUACCUCCUGAAGGAUGAAAAGCAGGGCUCACCUUUUAUUGAGCACCAUGUUCCCGAGCUUCAGGUCUCUGUGCACGAUGUUUUUCUGGAAGACAACAAAAUGGUUUGCACCAUGAAGGUGAGUGAGGGCUGGGGGCAGCCCCAGCCUGUAAGCAGCCCCAGCCUGUAAGCUGUUUGGGAAGGUAGGAUAAAACUCUGUGACAUGCCUUUUAAGGCUCUGCCUUGAUUUGUAAGCCACAGGCAGACCAGGACCAUUGUAAGACCUCGUCAGCCAUGUGUAUAGAUGGGGUAAUAGGUGAGCCCAGGCAAUCGUUGCCCCAUCCAGGCAGGUUCCCAGCUUUCUCUCCUCAGGGCAGCAGCCAGUAGGAAAACCCAGUCCUCUCUCCACCUCCAUCAAACAUCUUAUUGAAAAGCAACAACAAAAAGCUAAGCCUCUGCCUGGAGCCGGACUCAGAGAUGAACUCUCCUGACUCUGGAGACCAAGUUGCAGGCUUGGCCCACAGAAGCUGUGAGCCUGCAAGAGGCUCUCCUAACCUGGGCAUUGGGGUACCUGACACCCCCAAUCUUAGGAAAAGCUCAGAGGUAGGCUGUGGCCCCAGUGGAUAGCUCACAGUCAUCACCAAAGAUGGGAGGCUCAUGUUUAGUUCCUCACCCGAGAGGGAUCCCUGCUCUGGGUUCUGCUCCGUGCCCAAUACAGCACCCCAGCCCCGCAAACCCGCGGAUGGUGGGCUGAGGCCUGCAGCACUGUGCCUCCCCAGGCAUACUUGUCAUAUGGCCACUUUCCUUCCGCACACUUCCAGCUGUUCCAGCUGCAAAGCACACUGGGUGAGGGUGGGACAGAGCUGCU